rnacentral:piRNA from 1 species
UGGACUGAUAAUCUGUUGUUU